rnacentral:lncRNA from 1 species
AUCCCUUCAGGACGUUGUAAUACCCCAAUGUGAUGACCUUACUCUCAAACAGGCUACUGCAGCCACCUCUGUGGGAGUUAAGGAAAAGUCGUAUCUAUCACCAACACUUCAGAAGAAGAAGGCUGUCUCACCAUCCUCACUUCUGGCCAUAAAACAUCUCCCUUAAUUCUGUCCCAUGUUAAAGUUCCAUCACACCAAUGAGAAUAUCAAGAAACAUCACACAAUACAGAAAACAACAUGGAGCCCACAGAGAAGAAGCAAACACAAUCCAAGCCCACCCCACCCCUACUCCAUCAAUCAGCUCUGGGGUUAGAGAGAGCUGCCACAGGAAGACAGCUGCGGAAUAUGAACCGGAUGGAGCUCACCACAGCCUCUCCUUGCCCUUCCAGCCUCCAGGAUGGUAACAGACAGGUUUCUGUGGAGUGUAAGCUGACAAGAUUAAUGCAGAUU